GCACUGCCGAGGAGUCGUACAACAGGACGAAACGAUCGUCCAAUGC
rfam:Schistosoma rodhaini strain Burundi genome assembly, scaffold: SROB_scaffold0005138